rnacentral:misc_RNA from 1 species
GAAGAAGUCAAUUCAACAGAUUACAAAUAUGAUUAUUCUGAAGAUAUGGAAAAAGCAUCUCAGUGGCAUCAUCGACAUUCAGUGGCCCAGAGAAGUAAUGGGAGGUCCAGACAGGACAAAAAAGAUUACUCUAGAAGCCCAAAUCAGCUAGUCGGUCGUGCAUAUUCACGUGAGAAAUCGAUCAGCAAAGAGAAGCGAGACUAUUCAAAUGAUUCUAGUUUAAAUUUUUCCAGAAGCUCCAGCAGAAGGUACCACAAAUCAAAUGAGGAGAGUAGUCCACAUAGGGAGAGAGGUGAUCGUCAUUUUGACUUCAAGAAACGGAAGGCAAGGGAUGCUUCUGAUGAUUUUGAAGACCGAUAUGAUCCUUCAGGACCUUAGAAAAACUUUGAGAAAAUGUCCCACUAUUGCAACUAGUUCUCUUUUUGUCAGGUAAUCUGGCUAUGUGUUGAUAUUGGAACGGCAUUACCAUCAGAAAUUAUUGUGAUUGGUCCCAUCAGAAAAGAAUUUCCUGUGACUGGUGCCUUUUGUGGUCUAUUGGCCAGUAGGAAGUCAUGCAGGUGUCCACAGUA